CAGUAUAUGGGGAUAGUGAUGGUCACGCGCAUUGCCAGGAGUUUCAUCAUGUGCUACCUCGUUCCAUGAUGUGAUCACCUGGCACCGCGUGUGUCCAUCGAGAACCGUGGAACGACGA
rnacentral:pre_miRNA from 13 species